rnacentral:rRNA from 1 species
AUGGAGAAGCCUGUGUCGCUGAGUGCACGAAAGUUGCUGCGACUGACUGGACAGAGACGAGUUGAGCGACCAUGUGCCACGGUGGCGCGUGACUGUUGUGUGCAUAAUGAUGUACACAGCGAGGUGGACCCGGUUGCCAGAUUCUCUCCCCAAGUGCUUUUGUGCUUCGGCGCGUACGUAUGCUUGUCACUGACGAACCUAUUGGCUUUGAGAAAGACAGAAAACCAUGACCCAUCCGGCAUAUGCCGCAGUAUCAAUGUGCCAGCAUCACGCAUGAAAGCAAAGAAAGAUGUAGGUUUAUAUGGAAAUUAG